CAAGCGUCAAGUGAUAGCUGUCAUAUCAAGAAAUACAAAUAAGCUGUUGUCUGAAGUCACCCAAUUUUCUGUUUGAACAACUUAAAUAUUUUGUGUAGUUUCAAUUUAUUUAUUUGAUCAAACCUUGCUCGGUCGCUGUGCUUUUCAUGAUCCUGUACUCAGCCGGCAUCGAAGAUCCGUUUCGCCAAAGUGGUCAUCAAACUGAAGGGCAACUCCGACAAAGAACUGACCAUUUCUGGCCGCGAGUAGCUGCCUUGAUGCCAUCCAGUGGUGCUGCUCCGGCUGCCGUCGUUAAAAAUAAGAAGUAGGAAGAGUCCAAAUCCGAGGAGUUACUUCGCCGGAAAACUGCUGGCGAUUUAGAAAAGGUUUUGUAGGCCGCAGACAGCAGGACGCCACUGUUCCGUGCAGCGAUUCUGGAAGUGAACAAGGAAUGUCUGACCACUGCAGCAGCUGCUGUCAGCGAAUGAUUUUUUUUCUGGUUUUGAACGGAACAGGAAGACGUGAAGGACUUGAUUGGAUUCCGGCUUGUCAAGAAACUACUGGGUCAGGCCGGGUUAUUAUGAAGUGAACAAGUAUUUUCAAGUCGUAAUUAUGUAAAGUGUUUCGAAUUAUACAAGUAAAUAUCGAUGCAUC